rfam:Pristionchus pacificus strain PS312 contig10413, whole genome shotgun sequence.
UCUUCAUUAUUCACACUGUCUCGCCGGUCAGAGAGGCGAGAGAGUGUGCAAAAUGAAGAGA